UACGUAGGGACCGAGCGUUGUCCGGAAUCAUUGGGCGUAAAGAGCGUGUAGGCGGCCACUUAAGUCCUGCGUGAAAUCUUGCGGCUCAACCGCAAGCGGUCGUGGGAAACUGGGUGGCUAGAGUGCGGGAGAGGAGAGUGGAAUUCCUGGUGUAGCGGUGAAAUGCGUAGAUAUCAGGAGGAACACCUGUGGCGAAAGCGGCUCACUGGACCAUUACUGACGCUGAGGCGCGAAAGCUAGGGGAGCAAACAGG
rnacentral:rRNA from 1 species